AGAGACAGUCACACACACAGAGAGAGAGAGAGACAUGUUCUCUGACCGGGAUAUACAACUACUACUGACCACACACGGCAUACACCAUGGACUCUGACUCUUUGGACCGCUGCAUCCAGACUGCUCUCUCAGCCCUCUACCCGCCCUUCCAGGCCACAUCCCCGACUGUCCUCUGUCAGGUGCUCAGCGUGGUGGAGAGCUGCUACAGAGGAGACGGCUUUCGCUACCUCAUCCACUUCCUGCUGCCUGCAAAGCAAUUCUUAACAGACCUCCAGCAAAAUGCCUGUUUGCAGUACUGUGGUCAGUUUUUUCGUCAUGAAGGCUGGCCUCUGUGCGUCCAUGAGAAGGUAGUUGUUCAGCUCUGUCCUCUGGACCAGCGCCUUCUUCGUCCAGGAGACUUCUACCUGCUGGUUUCUCCUGCCGCUGCUGUUCCUCCUCGUCCCCUCCGAGCACACAGUGCCUCCUGCAGGAGAGCCACGACCUCCUCCCCCCGCCUGCUCCUGUGUAGCGCGUUCGCCGGCAGCCGGCAUGUGGAGCAGCAAGAGGUGUCGGAGGUAGCCCUGCGGUCCCUCUUCAGCAUGGCCUGGCUGGACUCGGUCAACAGGGACAGGGAGCAGCGAGGAGCGCCGAGGCUGGAGUGCUGCCUCCUCUCUGCCCACGGAGACGUCUUCAGGUUCCCCUGGGAGGACCUGGUCCACCCACAGUUCAUCAGCCGGCCCCAUACCUCCCUGAAGGAGGAGAAGGAGUCGUCCAUUAAGGAUGGAGAUGGUUUGAUGAAUACAUUGCAUGGUCCAGGAAGAGAUACUAACUCCUCAAGACAGGAAGUAAAGCUCCUCCAAUCAGCAGCGAGCACUGAGGGCGAGGACUCUGAGGGCGAGUACGUAGAGCUGACGGAGCUGCCUCGCUUCUCCCCACAGAAAGGCUCCUUAACCCAGUCCAUCAGUCUGCAGCACCAAGCCAGGACCAGCACACACACUGCUGCACACACACCUGGCCACACACACUCUGCUGCUGCACACACACCUUUCAACAUUCACACACACUCUGUGGCUACACACACACCUCACACACACUCCUCCUGGCCUUGUGUGGAGGUCAGCUCACACACCACGGAUUGCUCCAGGCUCAUCGAGGAGAACCUGAUCCAGGGCUCAUGUGGACCUGUCAUCCUCACCCCAAUCUCCCCCACCUCCUCUGCUCCACCUAAAGCUGUGGGAACCUCCAGCUGGACGUCACAGGAGCAAAUAGAAGGUACGGAUUCAGGCGUAAGUCUGACGUUGAACACUGAACCUGAAAGCAGCACAGAACAGAGUGAGGAGGAGAAAGAGGGAACCAGGGAGGAGAGAGAGCUGUUGAAGAGCCAGAAAGAGAAGAUUAAAAUAUUAGCGUCAGAUGGUGAAGAUGGGGAAAAGGAAGAAGAACAGCUGGAGGAUGGAGAGUGUAGGAGGGAUGAAUUUUUACUUAAUGAAAGGGAUGAGAAAGAGAAAAAGUUGGACGAGGUAGAAAUAGAAGAAAAGGUUCAGGUUACAGUGGAGCAGCAGAGUCAAGAGAGGAGGGAUGAGAAGCUGGUGAUGAAAGAAGAUGAGAGAGGGGAAGAGACGCACUGUGAGGACUCUUAUUCUGAAAACAAUACACAACCAAACCACUCUGUGGACUCUUAUUCUGAAAACAAUACACAACACAAGCACUGUGAGGACUCUUAUUCUGAAAACAAUACACAACCAAACCACUCUGUGGACUCUUAUUCUGAAAACAAUACACAACCAAACCACUCUGUGGACUCUUAUUCUGAAAACAAUACACAACACAAGCACUGUGAGGACUCUUAUUCUGAAAACAAUACACAACCAAACCACUCUGAGGACUCUUAUUCUGAAAACAAUACACAACCAAACCACUCUGUGGACUCUUAUUCUGAAAACAACACACUGCCAAUGGAUCCAGACUCACUUUUGUGUGAACCUGAGAAGUCUGAAGAAGGACUGGAACAUCCAGAAGAAAUGAACAAGAAGGGGGAGGAAGAAGAGAUCAGAUCUGAGGAGGUUGGUGGAACAAGAUCUUCAGAGCUUCAGACUGAAGACUCCUCAGACCUCAGCAGACCUCCGGGCCAUCUCGUCCCCCUGUCUACUGGUCCCAGUCCAACAGAACCCGAACCACAGCUGGACCCAUCAGCUGCUACCACAGUCCCAGUACGGCUCACCCAGUCCUCCCAGUUCAGCUUCUACUCUGUGCUGCUACGCUCUGGAGCGCUCUGUCUGCCUGGGACCAGAGACCGGUGUGGUCGAGCUCUGCUGACGGUCUGCAGCAGGAGCUCCGUGUGGUCCGACCCCGAUUGUGACGCCGCCGAGCUGCUGCGCCUCCUGCUCUACUACUCCUCCACCCUCAGGAAGGAGGUGGGAGCGUUGGGGCUGACGGUGCUGGUGGACGCCCGCAGAGCUGCUCCUGUCCCGGCCCUGUUCUCCGCCCUCAGGGCCCUGAAGGAAAAUGUCCACUCCGUCCUCCUGCUGGUCGACAAGGACUCGUCUCUGCGUCUGGACAAACCUGCAGCCAUGCAGGUGGAGGUGGUGUUCUCUCUGAAGUCUCUUCAGAAAAAAGUGGAUCUCCAGCAGCUUCCUGCAAAGUUUGGAGGUUCCUUCAGCUUCAGUCAGAGCAGCUGGCUCUGCUUCAGAUCACGAGUGGAGCAGCUGACCAAUCAGUGUGAAGACGUCAUCAAGCUGCUGCAGAAAACCAUCAACAUCCUGCAGGACACACGUUUACCUGUUGCAGCAGAGGGGGCCGAGCUGCUGUUGUCCAGGUACCAGGAAGUGAUGCGCAACAUCCUCGAAGACACCCGAUUGGUGCAGCUGCAGCAGGAGGGCGGGGCCUCGCUGUCCGGUCUCCGCAGAGAGGGCGGCGGCGUCCUCGGCGUGAGCGCGGCGGUGGAGACGGCGUCCGCGCUGUACGACAGGGUGGACGAGCUGCUGCACCGUCUGGUGACUCUGUCCAACUCCAGGACUCAGGAGCUGCAAUUCAUUCUGGACUUCAGGAGCCUGGAGACGGGCUUCACCGAGGUGAGCUUGUGGCUGCAGGACGUCGGUGAAGUUGUUCUCAAGAGUCUGAAUGAAGCAGAAGAUUCUCUGGAGCUCCUCAAGAAGAAACAACUGGACUUCAAAGAGUUUCACACAACUGCAUAUGAGCGCUGCAGACGAGGGGAGGAGUUGCUGAGUCAUCUGGAUCGUUGGGGUCACAUGAGGUCAGCUGACCUGCACGCCUACGAGGUCAAAGUUCACUCUUUCUGGGCUCAGCUCCAGGACUUCUCCCAGCGGGUCAACGCCGCGGGUCAGAACCUGGAGCGGGCUGUCGACAUGUACAGCUUCCUAGACCAGGCCUAUGGCUGGGCGUUGGAGGGAAUGCGUCACCAAGCUGCCAUCAGUAUGGAGGACUGCACGCUGCCGGACAAAUGCCAGUCUGUGAUUGGCUGCCUGGAGGACUACCGGCGCCAGCACCCGCUGAUCCCAGACCAGCGCUUCCAGGAGGUGAAGGCGGCGGCGGGCGAGCUGCGGGGGGAGCGAGGCCUCCAUCAGUGCAGCUUCGCCUGGGCCAAGUGUCAGGAGACCAGGAAGAUGUUCGACAGGAAGAUGGAGGCGGCGCUCAGGACGCGGGACUCCGCCCAUAGGCUGCACUCUGACUCAGCCCACAGCGGAAGCUCCACCUCCUCUCGGAGAACGCCGUCAGGACUCUGGGGGCUCCAUGAGACCUCCUCGAAAUCCUGCCCCCUAGAGGAGGACAACAACACCUCCUCCUCCUCCCCCCUGCUCACCUCCUCCCCCGUCACCCACCAGCACACCCCCGUCCUCCAGCGUCUGCUCCACAGCGUCUCCUUAGAGGAGGCAGCGGACCGGGUGAAGGUCUGCUCCUCCAGUCCCAGCCCCCCCCACCUCCACUCCUUCUCCUCCGGCAGACGGCAGCAGCUCAGGAAGACCCAGAGCUUCGACUGCCCCCCCGAGGCGCCCCGGUUCAGCCCGUGUCCUCGCGUCCUCAGAGGGAACACGGGCGUGUUGAUCCGCGGCCUGGAGGUCGGCAGCUCGGAGGCCUCCGACCGCGCGCUCUGCCCCAGGACGGCUGCUCGCGGCUGGGCAGCACAAGUGACCCCCGGGACCCCCAGAACCACCGGCGGCCCGCCAACAGACCCCCGGCCCAGAGGGAGUAAGCUGCGUCACGUGGUGGAGGAGAUGGUGACCACGGAGAGGGAGUACGUGCGCUCCCUGCGCUACACCCUCCAGCACUACUUCCCUGAGAUGGACCGGGCCGACCUGCCUCAGGACCUCCGGGGGAAGCGCUCUGUGGUCUUCGGGAACCUGGAGAAGCUUCUGGACUUCCACACUCAGUUCUUCCUCAGGGAGCUGGAGGCCUGCUGGAGGCACCCUCUGAGGGUCCCCCACUGCUUCCUCCGACAUCAGGAGCAGUUCGGUCUGUACGCUCUGUACAGCAAGAACAAACCAAAGUCUGACGCUCUGCUGGCCAACCACGGGAACUCCUUCUUCAGGAGGAAGCAGGUGGAGCUGGGUGAUAAGAUGGACCUGUCGUCCUACCUGUUGAAGCCGGUGCAGAGGAUGAGUAAAUACGCUCUCCUGCUAACUGACCUCAUCAAGGAGGUGGGCGGAGCUCAGGAGGCGGAGCUUGCCGCACUGCAGGACGCCACCAACAUGGUCAAGUUCCAGCUUCGCCACGGCAAUGACCUGCUGGCAAUGGACGCCAUCCGAGACUGUGAUGUAAACCUGAAGGAGCAGGGUCAGCUGAUCCGUCAGGAUGAGUUCACUGUCUGGACCGGCAGGAGGAAAUGUCAGCGGCACAUCUUCCUGUUUGAGGAGCUUGUUCUCUUCAGUAAACCCAAGAAGAUGGAUGGAGGUCUGGACGUCUUCAUCUACAAGCACUCCUUCAAGACAGCAGAUGUGGGUCUGACAGAGUCCACGGGAGAUAACGGGCUACGGUUUGAGAUCUGGUUCAGAAGGAGGACGUCCAAGAACCAGACCUUCAUCCUUCAGGCCGCCACAUUGGAGGUGAAACACGCCUGGACCACCGGCAUCGCCCGGAUCCUGUGGACCCAGGCCACCAGGAACAAAGAGAUGCGUCUGAAGGAGAUGGUGUCGAUGGGAGUCGGGAACAAACCGUUUCUGGACAUCAAGCCGAGUGAUGCGGCCAUCAGCGACCGAGCUGUUCACUACAUCAUGAAGAGCCGAGGUGCCAGAACGCGGGCGUCCAUUGCCGUCUCUGGCUUCGAUCACUCGAACCCUUUUAAUGGAGGAGCGGUGACCUCUGACCCCAUAGCAUCAGGACCGUCUUCAUUCAGCCUGCUGGGGCCGCUCAACCUGCACAUGUACAGCCAGAACCUCCCCUCCUCUCCUGCUGCUGAAGGCUCCUUCAUUACCUCCUGUAUCGAGGAAGACGAGCAGGAGACCAGCAGCCAGCCCUCCAUGACCACAGAAAGUUCCAGCUCAUCGUCUCGCCGUCUCUCCGGCUCCACCGGCUCCGACAGCGGCUGCGUCUCCUCCAACCUUCAGGAGGUGCUGCCCGAGGAGCCGAGGCCCCCCCGCAAGCCUUCAUCCUCAUUUAACCAACAGCACCUCAACAGCCAGUACAGUUCACCUGUGAGUACAGACACCUUCUGGGAGUCGUAGUCCUGUGACGGACUACAACUUAAAGACACAGUGUCUAAAGCUGUCCUGGUCAUUGGUCCUUCCACCAUUGUGUGAUCAGCUGACCUGAUGGACAGGUGGUCCUGUCCCUGCUUCAGUCCUCUGGUUCUCUAGUGUUCAUGUGUUCCAGGUCAGUCAGUUGAGCUGAUCCAGGGUCAGUCUGAGGAGGUCCAGGACCAGCUGGAUGUACAUGUGUGUAAAUAAAUGUAUUUUCUUACUUGAGUAAUAAACAUUUUGUUCAAAACUGA